GAUGAGAACGUAGCGAAAUGCGAUACGUAAUGUGAAUUGCAGAAUUCAGUGAAUCAUCGAAUCUUUGAACGCAUAUUGCGCUCUCUGGUAUUCCGGAGAGCAUGCUUGUUUGAGUAUCAGUAAACACCUCAACUCCCUUUUCUUUUUUGAAAUUGGAGCUGGACUUGAGUGAUCCCAACGCUUUCUUCCAAGAAAGUGGCGGGUUGCUUGAAAUGCAGGUGCAGCUGAACUUUUCUCUGAGCUAUAAGCAUAUCUAUUUAGUCUGCCUAAAAAACAGAUUAUUACCUUUGCUGCAGCUAACAUAAAGGAGAUUAGUUCUUGUGCUGACUGAUGCAGGAUUCACAAAGACAGGCUUCGGCCGACUUUGUAAACUCGAUCUCAAAUCAAGUAAGACUACCCGCUGAACUUAAGCAUAUCAAUAAGCGGAGGA
rnacentral:misc_RNA from 1 species